UACGGAGGGGGCAAGCGUUGUUCGGAAUCAUUGGGCGUAAAGGGCGCGUAGGCGGCUGAUCAAGUCGGGUGUGAAAUCCCUCGGCUCAACCGAGGGAACUGCAUUCGAUACUGGUCGGCUAGAGUCCGGGAGGGGAUGGUGGAAUUCCCAGUGUAGCGGUGAAAUGCGUAGAUAUUGGGAAGAACACCGGUGGCGAAGGCGGCCAUCUGGACCGGUACUGACGCUGAGGCGCGAAAGCCAGGGGAGCGAAUGGG
rnacentral:rRNA from 1 species